rnacentral:ncRNA from 1 species
AGGGGCGAAAGACUAAUCGAACCAUCUAGUAGCUGGUUCCCUCCGAAGUUUCCCUCAGGAUAGCUGGCGCUCAUAUAGAGUUUCAUCCGG